GCGCUCGCUUUGGCGGCACAUAUACUAAAACUGGAAUGAUACAGAGAAGAUUAGCACGGCCCCUGUGCAAAGAUUCUUAUGGAGAAAAAACUAUAAAGACCCUA